UUGAACGCUGGCGGCAGGCCUAACACAUGCAAGUCGAGCGCGAAAGUUCUUCGGAAUGAGUAAAGCGGCGGACGGGUGAGUAACGCGUGGGAAUCUGCCUAGUAGUGGGGGACAACAGCCGGAAACGGCUGCUAAUACCGCAUACGCCCUACGGGGGAAAGGGGGGGAUCUUCGGACCUCUCGCUAUUAGAUGAGCCCGCGUCGGAUUAGCUAGUUGGGAGGGUAAAGGCCUACCAAGGCUACGAUCCGUAACUGGUCUGAGAGGAUGAUCAGUCACACUGGAACUGAGACACGGUCCAGACUCCUACGGGGGGCAGCAGUGGGGAAUAUUGGACAAUGGGGGCAACCCUGAUCCAGCCAUGCCGCGUGUGUGAAGAAGGCCUUAGGGUUGUAAAGCACUUUCAGUGGGGAGAAAGGUUUGUCACCUAAUACGUGAUGAAAUUGAUGUUACCCACAGAAGAAGCACCGGCUAACUCCGUGCCAGCCGCCGCCUAA
rnacentral:rRNA from 1 species